UACGGAGGGGGCGAGCGUUAUUCGGAAUUAUUGGGCGUAAAGGGCGCGUAGGCGGCCUUGUAAGUCAGAGGUGAAAUCCCUCGGCUCAACUGAGGAACUGCCUUUGAAACUGCAAGGCUUGAGGCCGGGAGGGGGUAGCGGAAUUCCCAAUGUAGCGGUGAAAUGCGUAGAUAUUGGGAGGAACACCAGUGGCGAAGGCGGCUACCUGGACCGGUUCUGACGCUGAGGCGCGAAAGCGUGGGUAGCAAACAGG
rnacentral:rRNA from 1 species